rnacentral:rRNA from 1 species
UGCAGUCGAACGGCAGCACGGACUUCGGUCUGGUGGCGAGUGGCGAACGGGUGAGUAAUAUAUCGGAACGUAUCCAAUAAUGGGGGAUAACUAAUCGAAAGGUUGGCUAAUACCGCAUACGCCCUACGGGGGAAAGCUAGGGACCUUCGGGCCUGGCGUUAAUGGAGCGGCCGAUAUCUGAUUAGCUAGUUGGUGGGGUAAAGGCCCACCAAGGCGACGAUCAGUAGCUGGUCUGAGAGGACGACCAGCCACACUGGAACUGAGACACGGUCCAGACUCCUACGGGAGGCAGCAGUGGGGAAUUUUGGACAAUGGGCGAAAGCCUGAUCCAGCCAUUCCGCGUGAGUGAAGAAGGCCUUCGGGUUGUAAAGCUCUUUCGCAAGGGAAGAAAGAUUACUCUCUAACAUAGAGUGAUUAUGACGGUACCUUGAUAAGAAGCACCGGCUAACUACGUGCCAGCAGCCGCGGUAAUACGUAGGGUGCGAGCGUUAAUCGGAAUUACUGGGCGUAAAGCGUGCGCAGGCGGUUUUGUAAGUCAGAUGUGAAAUCCCCGAGCUCAACUUGGGAACUGCGUUUGAAACUACAAGACUAGAAUAUGUCAGAGGGGGGUAGAAUUCCACGUGUAGCAGUGAAAUGCGUAGAGAUGUGGAGGAAUACCAAUGGCGAAGGCAGCCCCCUGGGAUAAUAUUGACGCUCAUGCACGAAAGCGUGGGGAGCAAACAGGAUUAGAUACCCUGGUAGUCCACGCCCUAAACGAUGUCUACUAGUUGUUGGUGGAGUAAAAUCCAUGAGUAACGCAGCUAACGCGUGAAGUANACCGCCUGGGGAGUACGAUCGCAAGANUAAAACUCAAAUGAAUUGACGGGGGCCCGCACAAGCGGNGG